rnacentral:rRNA from 1 species
AUACGAAGGGCCCGAGCGUUGCGCGGAAUCACUGGGCUUAAAGCGUACGUAGGCGGACAUGCAGGCAUUUUGUGAAAGCCCUCGGCUCAACCGAGGAAUUGCAGGGUGAACCGCAUGUCUUGAGGUGAGUAGGGGCUGUCGGAACGAUAGGUGGAGCGGUGAAAUGCGUUGAUAUCUAUCGGAACGCCAAAGGCGAAGGCAGACAGCUGGGCUUAUUCUGACGCUGAGGUACGAAAGCGUGGGGAGCGAACGGGAUUAGAAACCCCAGUAGUCC